rnacentral:lncRNA from 1 species
CAACAGAAAAUAAGGGAAUAGCUUUUAAAGUUAAAACCUCAUUUUUAGUUCAAAAGAAAAAGCUGAAUUCUUUGAACUUUUCUCUUUGCCUGGAAAACGAACCUCUCCAAGCUCUCUUGCUANUUUUGCUUUCUAUUCCAAAAUCCUGCAGAUUUAAUCCCCUAAAUUCCUCCUUGCAGCUGUCUAAAGCGAUUGAACACCAAGACCUCCUUUUUCUCNGAUCAAUUUCUGUUUUCGAAGAAGGGGUAAGUUGCUCUCUCCUUUUUCCCCAUUCUUGAGCAUUAGAACAUACAAUCUUAGGAUUUCAUGCGUCUUUGGACUCUUCCUUUCAAAUUUCUUUUCAAAUUCAACUUUGAGAAACGCCUUGAUCACUAAUUUCGUUAUCUAUAGGGUUGGAGGUAAAUUCGGAAUUUUGAGGAAACAUAGAAGAAGCAUUGAGUUGUUCUGAUAGAAUCCAAGGUAAGGGAAGCUAGAUUCAUCUUUUAUUGUAGAAUAGUAAGCUGUUUGUAAGUAGAUUUUGUGUGUAAAGAAUUUAAUCAAUGCAUGCAGAAACUUUUGUAAAAUGUUAAGUUAAAGUGUGUUUGAAUGCAUUAUGUUUAUGUUCUGAAUUUGUGAACUUUAGCCUAUGUUCAUUGUAAACACAUAUGUUCUGAAUUAUGGAUGUGUUGUGACUAGGGUAAUGUAUUAGAAUUAGAAAGAAUCUGUGAGGGAGAGACUAGACAGAGUUUAAGCAGAGAGUAAUAUUUCAAGUGUUCUAGGAAAUCAAAUUUAGGAAGUAGGGUAGUGAAAUUUUAAGUUAGGGGUUUAGACCUAAAUUGAACCUUUGUGGUAGCUUAGACAAACCAAUUAUGACUUGUAGGCAACAUCAAAAGAGUCUGAAACCAUUUCUAAGUAGUAUAAUUCAAAUCGAGUCUCUAAGAGAAUUAAGUUGAGUUUUUGAUUCAAAAUCUCUACAUAGUAACUAGAAUUUUAUGUUAGGAUCAUGGGGAAAGCUUCAAACAAGUUAUAUUUAGCCUAUAGAUCGAGUUAGGAGUGUUCAAAGUUCACCAAAUGGCCUAAAACAGAUUUGGGGGGUGUGAGUUCUGCAAAAUCUGCAUAAAAUCUGCAAAACUCACGCUCGGGCGCCCCUAACGGGCGCUUGGGCGCCACUUUCUGCUGUCAUGUUUGUUUUUGACAGUUCGGGGGGUUCCGGACGUCCGUUUUGGACGUUCUCUAGGUCGUUCUGGGGGGUUUUUGACCCUUCCGGAGCCAAUGGUGUGGGUUUCCAAGCUAUUUGAAUUACCUAAGUAUUGGUAAUUUAAGAUUACAAAGAUAUUUGUAUUAAUAAGUGAUGUUUUUCUGAAAAUAUGUAAUUCUUGUUUCCUCUUCUUCCUUGUGUGAUGAUUCAUGUAUUUGUUAUGGUUCCUCUUGUAUGACUUCUAUUAAUAUUAUUGGAUUGAUCUAUGCUUGAUAAUGUAAAGAAACCAAAUUGAUCUCCUAACUUCAUGUAUAACAUUAAGAAUUAAAGUAAGUAAAGUUAGGGUGGAAUGUAAUGUGAUUUAAGUACAUCUCUAGGUGAGAUCAAAUUAAGUUAUGAGAAUGAAUAUAAGAAGCUCAAUCUUGGGUGUCUCCAUUUUAUAUGGGCCAAGAAUGAGUGAUUCAAGUUAAGUUCUAGAAUGAAUAUAGGUAGCUCAGUUUUGGGGGUUGCCCUUAAUGCUCUAAUGACUAUUCAAUCUCACUUAGAGAAGAUUAGUUCAUGUGGUGAAGAGUAGUAGGGGGUCCUAGUCUUGGUUGUCUCCAUUGUAUAUGGGCCAAGGUGAGUGAUAACGGACUAACCUUGUGUGUGGUAGGGUGAAACCCAUUGGCAAUGGCUUUGCAAAGCAGUAGAGGCCACCACAAGUGCAUAACCCGCCAUAGCUCGAUAUUCAUUCCAGGUCCGGACGAGUCUAAGUCUGACACCACUUAAUACAACUCUAAUUUAUAACUCAGUAAAAAUUGUACUUCUGUGAUUGUAUUGCUUGUAUGUUUCUUUUUAUUUUAGUAGCUCUUAUAUCACUUGUAUUAUUUUUGAAAUCUAGCUUACCCUUGCGUGUGUGUUGCUUGUUUUGUCUGUGUUUGUUUUCUUUUGCAAUGAUCAUCCUAAUUGGAUGUGAGCAGAGAUUGCAGAGGCCCUUUGGAGCAGGUUUUAGAUGUAGUUGAUGCUGCCAAGACUCCAGACACUGCUGAGUAGUUUAGGAUGUCUAAGUUCAUGUGUGUGUGUGUGUGUG